rnacentral:rRNA from 1 species
UACGGGGGGGGCAAGCGUUGUUCGGAAUUACUGGGCGUAAAGGGCUCGUAGGCGGCCGACUAAGUCCGACGUGAAAUCCCCAGGCUUAACCUGGGAACUGCGUCGGAUACUGGAUGGCUUGAAUUCGGGAGAGGGAUGCAGAAUUCCAGGUGUAGCGGUGAAAUGCGUAGAUAUCUGGAGGAAUACCGGUGGCGAAGGCGGCAUCCUGGACCGACAUUGACGCUGAGGAGCGAAAGCUAGGGGAGCAAACGGG